UACGUAGGGUGCAAGCGUUGUCCGGAAUUACUGGGCGUAAAGAGCUCGUAGGUGGUUUGUCGCGUUGUUCGUGAAAACCGGGGGCUUAACCCUCGGCGUGCGGGCGAUACGGGCAGACUUGAGUACUGCAGGGGAGACAGGAAUUCCUGGUGUAGCGGUGGAAUGCGCAGAUAUCAGGAGGAACACCGGUGGCGAAGGCGGGUCUCUGGGCAGUAACUGACGCUGAGGAGCGAAAGCGUGGGGAGCGAACAGG
rnacentral:rRNA from 1 species